UGCCAGCAGCCGCGGUAAUACGUAGGGUGCAAGCGUUAAUCGGAAUUACUGGGCGUAAAGCGUGCGCAGGCGGUUUUGUAAGACAGGCGUGAAAUCCCCGAGCUCAACUUGGGAAUAGCGCUUGUGACUGCAAGACUAGAGUAUGUCAGAGGGGGGUGGAAUUCCAAGUGUAGCAGUGAAAUGCGUAGAAAUUUGGAAGAACACCGAUGGCGAAGGCAGCCCCCUGGGAUAAUACUGACGCUCAGGCACGAAAGCGUGGGGAGCAAACAGGAUUAGAUA
rnacentral:rRNA from 1 species